UACAGAGGGGGCAAGCGUUGUUCGGAAUUACUGGGCGUAAAGGGCGCGUAGGCGGCCUGCUAAGUCGAACGUGAAAUCCCCGGGCUCAACCCGGGAACUGCGUCCGAUACUGGUUGGCUUGAAUCCGGGAGAGGGAUGCGGAAUUCCAGGUGUAGCGGUGAAAUGCGUAGAUAUCAGGAAGAACACCGGUGGCGAAGGCGGCUCGCUGGGCCAGUUCUGACACUCAUCCGCGAAAGCGUGGGGAGCAAACAGG
rnacentral:rRNA from 1 species